CAGCAGCGCGGGAAUACGAGGGGGGCAAGCGUUGUUCGGAAUUAUUGGGCGUAAAGGGUGCGUAGGCGGUUUGGCAAGUUUGGUGUGAAAUCUUCGGGCUCAACUCGAAGUCUGCAUCGAAAACUGCCGGGCUUGAGUAUGGGAGAGGUGAGUGGAAUUUCCGGUGUAGCGGUGAAAUGCGUAGAUAUCGGAAGGAACACCUGUGGCGAAAGCGGCUCGCUGGACCAUAACUGACGCUGAUGCACGAAAGCUAGGGGAGCAAACAGGAUUAGAUACCCGGGUAGUCCCUGUCUCUUAUACA
rnacentral:rRNA from 1 species